rnacentral:lncRNA from 1 species
CCUGUGUUAACUUGAUUUUUUUUCUUCCGUUUCUUUUAUCCCUUCCAUUUUGUUUUUCUUCAUUAUUUUUUGAUUGAACUUUUCUUUUCAUUUUCUUCCCAUGAUAGGUUAUUUUGUAUCCUAAUUUUUUUUAUCACAAGUUCAUUCGAGUUGUUCUAGAUAUAUAUUUUUUCUUAUUUUUAUCUUUUCUUUUUUAUGUUUUGUCGCUAUAACACUGGAUGGUUUUUCUUUUUUAUGUUCUCUUCUUUCUUUAGUAUCUUAUUUUACUUAGUUUUUAUCUCCUUCCCUAUCUGUCCUAUUUUCUAUUAUUCUUUUAUUUUUAUUCUACUUUUUACCCUUUCUAUCUUUAUCGGUUCUCUUAUUUUAGUUUUUGCAAACCAUUAAAUGAUUUCAGUGCUAGUGAACCUCUCUUCCAAGCAGUAGGUAUAGGGUUUGAAAUAGCGUACAUGUAUUUUGUUUCAUAAGUCAUAUAAUUUGUUCGAGGAGUACAAAUCUUUGUUCGAUAAGUUUGUAUAAUUUGUUCGAUACGUAUGGUAUAGUUGUUUUGUUUAGUUUUUAUUUAUUCGCC